GCCGGGCAUGGUGGCCCAUGCCUGUAAUCCCAGCUACUCAGGAGGCUGAGACAGGAGAAUCGCUUGAACUCAGGAGGCGGAGGUUGCAGUGAGCCAACAUUGCGCCAUCGCACUCCAGCCUGGGUGACAGAGCGAGACUCCGUCUCAC
rnacentral:SRP_RNA from 1 species